UGUGCCAGCAGUCGCGGUAAUACAGAGGGUGCAAGCGUUAAUCGGAAUUACUGGGCGUAAAGCGAGCGUAGGUGGCUUGAUAAGUCAGAUGUGAAAUCCCCGGGCUUAACCUGGGAACUGCAUCUGAUACUGUUAGGCUAGAAUAGGUGAGAGGAAGGUAGAAUUCCAGGUGUAGCGGUGAAAUGCGUAGAGAUCUGGAGGAAUACCGAUGGCGAAGGCAGCCUUCUGGCAUCAUAUUGACACUGAGGUUCGAAAGCGUGGGUAGCAAACAGGAUUAGAUACCCUGGUAGUCCACGCCGUAAACGAUGUCUACUAGUCGUUGGGUCCCUUGAGGACUUAGUGACGCAGCUAACGCAAUAAGUAGACCGCCUGGGGAGUACGGCCGCAAGGUUAAAACUCAAAUGAAUUGACGGGGGCCCGCACAAGCGGUGGAGCAUGUGGUUUAAUUCGAUGCAACGCGAAGAACCUUACCUGGUCUUGACAUAUCUAGAAUCCUGCAGAGAUGCGGGAGUGCCUUCGGGAAUUAGAAUACAGGUGCUGCAUGGCUGUCGUCAGCUCGUGUCGUGAGAUGUUGGGUUAAGUCCCGCAACGAGCGCAACCCUUGUCCUUAGUUACCAGCGGGUUAAGCCGGGAACUCUAAGGAUACUGCCAGUGACAAACUGGAGGAAGGCGGGGACGACGUCAAGUCAUCAUGGCCCUUACGACCAGGGCUACACACGUGCUACAAUGGUAGGUACAGAGGGCAGCUACACAGCGAUGUGAUGCGAAUCUCAAAAAGCCUAUCGUAGUCCAGAUUGGAGUCUGCAACUCGACUCCAUGAAGUAGGAAUCGCUAGUAAUCGCGGAUCAGAAUGCCGCGGUGAAUACGUUCCCGGGCCUUGUACACACCGCCCGUCACACCAUGGGAGUUGAUUGCACCAGAAGUGGAUAGCCUAACCGUAAGGAAGGCGUUCACCACGGUGUGGUUGAUGACUGGGGUGAAGUCGUAACAAGGUAACCGA
rnacentral:rRNA from 1 species